CGGCUCAUCGCAUCCUGGGGCUGAAGUAGGUCCCAAGGGUUUGGCUGUUCGCCAAUUAAAGCGGUACGCGAGCUGGGUUCAGAACGUCGUGAGACAGUAGACUGUUGCUGUCUAAAAAUCUGGCUAUAUGCUGGAAAAUCUGUAGAAUCCGACAGUACUCUCUGUAAGGGAGUAAAAAUCUGAUCGGUGCAGACAAUCAGCAGGAAAGGUCAGGGAAAUGGAUAAUCAUUAUAUCGCAGGUUUUGUUGAUGGAGAAGGCAGCUUUCAUGUUGCCUUCCAACGUAGCGAUGAUGUUAGGUUGGGAUGGCAGGUUAUUCCUGAAUUCCAUCUAAGUCAGAACGUAUCCAGUAGAAAUGUUCUUGAAGUUAUUCAAGGGCGUUUUGGUUGUGGUUCAAUAAAAGAAAAUCAUCGUGAACGUUUGAAUGAUCAUACUUAUGUACUUGUGAUCAGAGACAGGCAAGACCUGACUAAAAAAGUGAUUCCUUUUUUUGAACGCUAUCCAUUGCACACUCAAAAGAAAAAUGAUUUUGCCAUUUUUAGGCAAAUUGUUGAGAUGAUGAAUCAGAAACUUCAUCUCUCAUCAAAAAGUUUUUCUGAGAUUGUGAAUUUGGCUUAUUCUAUGAAUGCCAACGGAUAUCGACGAAAGGUUCCAAAAAAUGAAAUCCUUAGUACCCUGAAAUCCUCAGAGACUAUACGCCAGAAUCAGUUAAAGGCUGAUAAGAUAUAGUCCGAACUGCAUGGCGACAUGCAGAGCCUGCUUCGCAGCAGGCCGUCCGCCUAAGGCGGAUCAGUACUCCGAAUUUCGGAGGAAGUAACAGAUUGUCGGUCCCUAUCUUCCGUGGGUGGAGGAGAUUUGCGGGGAUCUGUCCCUAGUACGAGAGGACCGGGAUGGACGAACCUCUGGUGCACCAGUUGUCACGCCAGUGGCAUUGCUGGGUAGCUAUGUUCGGAUCCGAUAACCGCUGAAAGCAUCUAAGUGGGAAACGGACCCCAAAACUAGAUCUCCCUCUCCAUAAGGAGCUUAAAGACCCCUUGUAGAUUACGAGGUUGAUAGGCCGGAUGUGUAAGUCCCGUAAGGGAUUAAGCUAACCGGUACUAAUUGGUCGAGAGGCUUGACCUUAUU
rnacentral:rRNA from 1 species